rnacentral:rRNA from 1 species
UACGGAGGGCGCAAGCGUUGCUCGGAAUCAUUGGGCGUAAAGCGCACGCAGGCGGUUCGUCAAGUCGGGUGUGAAAGCCCAGGGCUCAACCCUGGAUGGUCAUCCGAAACUGGCGAGCUAGAGGUCGGGAGAGGGAAGCGGAAUUCCUGGUGUAGAGGUGAAAUUCGUAGAUAUCAGGAGGAACACCGGUGGCGAAGGCGGCUUCCUGGCCCGAUUCUGACGCUCAUGUGCGAAAGCGUGGGUAG